rnacentral:rRNA from 1 species
ACGCUCGACACUACGGGAGGCGGCAGUGGGGAAUAUUGGGCAAUGGGCGCAAGCCUGACCCAGCAAUGCCGCGUGAAGGAAGAAGGCUUUCGGGUUGUAAACUUCUUUUGUCAGGGAAGAGUAGAAGACGGUACCUGACGAAUAAGCCACGGCUAACUACGUGUCAGCAGCCGCGGUAAUCUGAGCGGGCUGGCAAGGC